rnacentral:lncRNA from 1 species
UUCAGGAAAUCAGCACAGUAUGCUAGUACUGCGCUGAUCCUUCUUUGAUGGUUGAUCAGGUACCUCCUUCUUCUUGAUUUGGACUCUUCCAAAGAUGGAAAGUAGAAGGAGGAGUUUCAUAUCUGAGAUGCUCUCAGGAAACUCAAGAUGGAGGGAGGAAAGAUAUGAAAACAAAUAACCCUAGAAGAAGACCCUCUUCUUCUUCUC